CAGAACGAACGCUGGCGGCGCGUUUAAGCAUGCAAGUCGAGCGGCAAGGGCCUUCGGGCCCCUAGAGCGGCGGACGGGUGAGUAACACGUGGACAAUCUGCCCCCCGGCCCCGGGAUAGCCCAGGGAAACCUGGAUUAAUACCGGAUGAGACGGGACCCGCGAUGGCGGGAUCCGGGAAAGGCGCUGCGGCGCCGCCGGGGGAUGAGUCUGCGUCCCAUUAGCUAGACGGCGGGGUAACGGCCCACCGUGGCGACGAUGGGUAGCCGGCCUGAGAGGGUGGACGGCCACAUUGGAACUGAGACACGGUCCAGACUCCUACGGGAGGCAGCAGCUAAGAAUCUUCCGCAAUGGGCGAAAGCCUGACGGAGCCGACGCCGCGUGAACGAAGAAGGCCGUGAGGUUGUAAAGUUCUUUUCGGGAGGGGGAACAACCGUGGCAGGGAAUGGCCGCGGGAUGACGUGAAUCCCGGAAUAAGCCCCGGCUAACUACGUGCCAGCAGCCGC
rnacentral:rRNA from 1 species